AUACGGAGGAUCCGAGCGUUAUCCGGAUUUAUUGGGUUUAAAGGGAGCGUAGGUGGACAGUUAAGUCAGUUGUGAAAGUUUGCGGCUCAACCGUAAAAUUGCAGUUGAUACUGGCUGUCUUGAGUACAGUAGAGGUGGGCGGAAUUUGUGGUGUAGGGGUGGAAUGCUUAGAUAUCACGAAGAACUCCGAUUGCGAAGGCAGCUCACUGGACUGCAACUGACACUGAUGCUCGAAAGUGUGGGUAUCAAACAGGAUUAGAUACCCUGGUAGUCCACACAGUAAACGAUGAAUACUCGCUGUUUGCGAUAUACAGUAAGCGGCCAAGCGAAAGCAUUAAGUAUUCCACCUGGGGAGUACGCCGGCAACGGUGAAACUCAAAUGAAUUGACGGGG
rnacentral:rRNA from 1 species